GGGGGCGCGGCAGCGCUGAGGUGGGGGGGUCCCGGCAGCACCGGCACUGCUGAGGGACCUAGCCCGGCCCGGUGUCCCUCUGGGUGAUGCUAAUGACCGGAGGGAUGGGAGCGCCUCACUUUACCUCACGCCACACGGGACAGCCAGCAGAUGUGCAGAUAGCAGGAGGUGUCUGCAGAUAAGCUCCUCUCGCCCUGCUUUUGAGCUUUCCCUUGGCCCGCGUCGCUUCCACAGUAGCACCGCGCAGAGAUAACAGGAAAUUAUUACAAUCAAGGAGAGAUUCGCAAGAAAGAGCUGGAACAGAGUUGUUUCCUUCUGGGGAUUCCUGCUUCUGCUGUCACAGUCCUUGAUCACAGGGAUCUCCCAGAUAAUCCUGCUGUUGCAUGGGACAUACAGCUCCUCGCCACCUUGGUGCUGAAGCACAUAGAAGCCAAUAACAUCAACCUUGUGAUAACCUUUGAUGCAGGAGGAGUGAGUGGUCAUGCUAACCACAUUUCUCUUUACACUGCUUUAAGGUACCUGCAUACAGAAGGGAAGUUACCUGAAGGGUGCCUCGUGCUUGUGCUUGAAUCAGUAAAUCUCUUCCGCAAGUACCUCUCCAUCCUGGAUCUGCUUUUUUCCUGCCUCCAGCCCAGAGAUGCCCUCUUCAUACUCACAGAGGAGGAGACUGAACAAGCCAGGAGAGCCAUGAGGUGCCAUCGCAGUCAGCUCCUCUGGUUCCGCCGCCUCUAUCUGCUCCUCUCACGUUACAUGGUGAUCAACUCACUCCACCUGCUCCCAGAGACACAUUGCAGGACUAAACAACUGAGCAAAUAAAGGACCACGCCAGGCCCAGGACUGAAGAAAACUCACCUGUUCCGUGUUCAAGAGGACAGGAUUCUCUUCAUGUAACAUUCCUUCAGACCACAAAAACCAGGCUGGGUAAAUUUCCUUCUUAGCAUCUUGUUGCCUGAUACACUCAGAUGAACAGAGUCACUGUAGAAACUUAACUAGGUUAAGAAAUUUGGAUUAACCUAAUUGGGAAUCAAAUGCAGGAGUAUUCUGCAUCAGAGAAGAUAUGACUGUUUGUUCUCAAGAGGACAGAGCUGCAAGGACUGCCUGGAAGCUAUUUCUUGGUGCUUUUGGAGAAUCUAGUAUGAGGAAUGACUUUUCAAAGAUCAUUCUAUCUCCACAGAUAAAACCAAAACCACAGGGCCUAUCUUAUUCAGUCAGAACUGUAAAAAGCCAAAGCUUAUGAAUAAAACAUCAGAAGUCAAACAGUUUUCUCUAAUUCCACUGAUCUUUGCUGCUACUGCUGCUGCUUUCAUGCACACUGUGUUGCAGGCUCCACCUUCAGUGUCCCUCAUGAAACAUGAGCAUUUCUUUGUGCUUCAGAACAUUGGCCUCAAGAUCAACUCAUGAGAGUCAAUAGGGUGUUAAAGCAAGGUGCAAGAGAUCCACACCCAGGUCUUUUAUAGAACACGUGCAGAGAUAAAAAUUACAAGAGGUGUUUCAAAAACUGUUCCAUUUUUAUAAAAGAGAAGUGCAAGAGUUACAGAACCUCUCCCUUUUUGCUAAAAGGAAAGUGAAGCAGCUUUCAGUAGUUUCAUUUUUUAGCCUAUUAGUGAUAUGGUUUUCUGUGAGGUGAUGGUGGAGCAAAGUCAGCAACCCCCAACAUUUCUGUAGGCUUUGCACUUAUUCAUGUCAGCUCACCUCUACAGGAAGGAUCUUGCCUGCACCUGCACAGCAAACCAUAGUCAAGGUCAGAGCUCAAACUGCCAGAUCCUGAUCUGUUGCUGUGAGCACAUCCUCCCCUUAAGACAACAAACAAUUUCCUGGUUGCACUGAAGUACCUGCCCAUUGCUGGAAGAGGGCUGACAGUUGUGAACUCUGCUCCCUGGCCAUGAGCCAGUGCCUAAGCAUCUGCCUGCUCAGGCUUAAAACCACGAGUAAGUCCAGGCUUAAGCAAAGGAAUAAUUUCAGUGGCCCCUCUCUUGCACAGAGCUCAUCACCUGUGUCCUUAUUGAACUGGAGCCCACUAAGCUCUUUCAGAUCCUCUUUAACCUUAAAGUCAUGGUCAAUUAAUUGAAGAAAAUUUUCUCAAUGGAGAAAAACCAGUGUAAGUUAGUACUAUGUCCUGAGCAAGAGUUUUUCUUAAUAGGAGAUUAUUGUAAACCAGACUUGAAACACAGGAAAUCACAGAGUCACCAUAGUUGGAAAGAACCUUCAAGAUCAUCAAGUCCAACCAUCAAUCCUACACAGAUAUCUAUACAAGAAAAGAUUAGAUUAUUUUUUGUACUUUGUUGUGAUUUCAACUUUAGCACAGCAAAGGUCAAGAUACCAGAGUAGCAGCCCUUGGGGCCAUUUAUAGAACAGAGAUAAUUUGAAAACUGAAAGUCAGAAAUGAAUGAGACAGGCAGCAUAGGAAGAUUUAUUUAAGAAACAGAGAACUAGUAACCAUUAUGUAGAGAUUAACUUUGCCAGCCCCCUCCCAGGAAAUCCUAGAUAACAGUUCCAUGGCAGUGUUCCCAGUUCAGCUGCUGGAAAGGUGUGUCACAGCUUUGACAUGUCUCUGAUGGUCUUGUGUUCCUUCAUUGCCUUCUCCCAUUCUUUGCCAUUGAUGUCCUCUGUGACAACAGUCUGCACAGUGCCAUCAUCCAGACAAUGGGGAGCUAUUCCUGGAGAAAGAGAGAGUACAUUGAAACCUGCUUGUCAUAGCUGAAGUGUAGGAGAUGCUGUCAUGAGCAGGAUGAGUUAUGCAUUUGUCUCAGACAGGCUGAAGGCCUUGAGAAGAAACAGCUUGAGACCUUUUUGAGGAUUAGCUUUAAUGCCUGCAAGUUCUGUGUGUUCAAUAAAGCUGUGUAGUUGCACCCAAUCUUAUGUUAUCUUUAGCUUGUUCUUGUGGG